UGUGAUUCCAUAAUACCAACAACUUCUAGAACACAUACCUUUGUGGAAACAAAUUUGAUGGCAACAUCAAAAGGAAAUACUGUUUCUAUAGUUACAGUUUCAUCCCGGUGGCAUUUGCAGAGGAUUUCUUUCCCUUCAACAGUCGUGUUGAUCAAGUAAGAGACAUAGACAAGAAACAUCCUUGCACCAACUGUUCCACAACGAAUGU
rnacentral:lncRNA from 1 species